AGAGUUUGAUCCUGGCUCAGAUUGAACGCUGGCGGCAGGCCUAACACAUGCAAGUCGAGCGGUAGCACAGAGAGCUUGCUCUCGGGUGACGAGCGGCGGACGGGUGAGUAAUGUCUGGGAAACUGCCUGAUGGAGGGGGAUAACUACUGGAAACGGUAGCUAAUACCGCAUAACGUCGCAAGACCAAAGUGGGGGACCUUCGGGCCUCAUGCCAUCAGAUGUGCCCAGAUGGGAUUAGCUAGUAGGUGGGGUAAUGGCUCACCUAGGCGACGAUCCCUAGCUGGUCUGAGAGGAUGACCAGCCACACUGGAACUGAGACACGGUCCAGACUCCUACGGGAGGCAGCAGUGGGGAAUAUUGCACAAUGGGCGGAAGCCUGAUGCAGCCAUGCCGCGUGUAUGAAGAAGGCCUUCGGGUUGUAAAGUACUUUCAGCGAGGAGGAAGGCGUUAAGGUUAAUAACCUUAGCGAUUGACGUUACUCGCAGAAGAAGCACCGGCUAACUCCGUGCCAGCAGCCGCGGUAAUACGGAGGGUGCAAGCGUUAAUCGGAAUUACUGGGCGUAAAGCGCACGCAGGCGGUCUGUCAAGUCGGAUGUGAAAUCCCCGGGCUCAACCUGGGAACUGCAUUCGAAACUGGCAGGCUAGAGUCUUGUAGAGGGGGGUAGAAUUCCAGGUGUAGCGGUGAAAUGCGUAGAGAUCUGGAGGAAUACCGGUGGCGAAGGCGGCCCCCUGGACAAAGACUGACGCUCAGGUGCGAAAGCGUGGGGAGCAAACAGGAUUAGAUACCCUGGUAGUCCACGCCGUAAACGAUGUCGACUUGGAGGUUGUGCCCUUGAGGCGUGGCUUCCGGAGCUAACGCGUUAAGUCGACCGCCUGGGGAGUACGGCCGCAAGGUUAAAACUCAAAUGAAUUGACGGGGGCCCGCACAAGCGGUGGAGCAUGUGGUUUAAUUCGAUGCAACGCGAAGAACCUUACCUGGUCUUGACAUCCACAGAACUUUCCAGAGAUGGAUUGGUGCCUUCGGGAACUGUGAGACAGGUGCUGCAUGGCUGUCGUCAGCUCGUGUUGUGAAAUGUUGGGUUAAGUCCCGCAACGAGCGCAACCCUUAUCCUUUGUUGCCAGCGGUCCGGCCGGGAACUCAAAGGAGACUGCCAGUGAUAAACUGGAGGAAGGUGGGGAUGACGUCAAGUCAUCAUGGCCCUUACGACCAGGGCUACACACGUGCUACAAUGGCAUAUACAAAGAGAAGCGACCUCGCGAGAGCAAGCGGACCUCAUAAAGUAUGUCGUAGUCCGGAUUGGAGUCUGCAACUCGACUCCAUGAAGUCGGAAUCGCUAGUAAUCGUAGAUCAGAAUGCUACGGUGAGUACGUUCCCGGGCCUUGUACACACCGCCCGUCACACCAUGGGAGUGGGUUGCAAAAGAAGUAGGUAGCUUAACCUUCGGGAGGGCGCUUACCACUUUGUGAUUCAUGACUGGGGUGAAGUCGUAACAAGGUAACCG
rnacentral:rRNA from 1 species